ACGAAUAUUCAAAAAUUAAAGGAGGUCUAACUACCAAUUAUGAAGGUAUGAAUGAUGAAAGUAUGAAUAGAACCUCUUUAUUUGUAAAGAAAAGAAAAUUGUAAAUAGAAUUUAAAGCAUUAAAAUACAUAUUAAUAAGGUAGAAAAUUUUUAACAUGAUUUUUAUUUAUUUGAUCGAUUAUUUUAAUUGUAUAAAUUUGUAUUUUAUUUCAUUAAUAUCGAAGAAUAUUUAAGAGAAAAAAAAUCAAUUUAUGAUACCUUUUAUUAAGGGAAAUUCCCAUCUGCCCUAAUUUUAAGGAAUUUUUUCCACUAACAAAAUAAGAAUCUAAAAUUCCCACUAACCAUAACAUUCCCGGCCUAGUGAUUUAUUCCCUCUAACAAAAUUUUGACUUUUUCUAUUAUUUUUGUGGACAAAACUGUCCUUCCCUCUUCUCAUUCUCUCAUCUAUCUCUCUCCAUCCAAAUUCUAUCGGAUCUAAUCUCUCUCUCUCUCUCUCUCUCUCUCUCUCUCUCUCUCUCUCUCUCUCCGGAGAUCAGCUACACCUCCGGUAAGUCAUCAAUUCCGCCUCUCUAAUUUCCUACUAAUCGCCAUCGCCAUUGCUGCUCCAAUUCCUAAUUCGUUCAUUGUCUCGUUCUUUCAUCUCGAUCCAAAUCAGUCAGCAAAUCUCGAUCUCCACGAAAGACGACGACGAUGACUUUGCUUCUUCAUUGCUUUGCGAUAUCGUUCGGUCAACAAGUCUCGAUCUCGUUCGUUCCCUCCACAGAUCAGAUCUAAAACAAACACAGACAACACAGGAGAGAGAGAGAGAGAGAGAGAGAGAGCCACAAGGAUAGUUUUAAGCGGUGGAGGAGAAGCUUGUACAGAGGCUUAAGUCAGCGGUCACGCGCCUCGAGGCAGUGUCCUUCUCCGGAGGCUCUGCUGCGGCAGCGGCGAGUGGUGACAAUGCGCCGCUGGAUUUGAUUUACAAAUGUAUGUAAUAGAAAACUUUGAUGCUUCUAUGUGUUUCUACUUAGUUUUGUUCUUGAGAGUAUUGGCCUCAUUUAUAAUUUUUGGCCUCAUUUAUAAUUUUUACAAGAGAUUUCUAUAACAAGAAAAACACAGCUACAUACCUAAAUGCAUCCAAUACAAUAGUAUGUGUUUAACAGCUAAUGUAAAGCACUCUUCACUCAAAAUUGUAGAUUAUCUCGGGAUCAUUCUAUUCUUAUGGCUUUUUGGUUAAACUAUUUCAUGCUUGACUUUGUAGAUUCAUUGUUGUUCAGACACUAUAUCUUGUAAAGUUGUAAUAUAUAUAUAUAUAUAGACACACACAUAUAUGAACAAUUUUAGUUGUUGUCCUCUGCAGGUGGCCAAAUGGGGAAGGAUGAGUAUGUGUGAUACUGAGAGGAGACUUCUUGCUAAUGCAUUGCAACAUGUAUCUAAUGAAUGGUUCAUUAUUCUUUUAGAAUCAUGCAUUCCUCAUUAUAACUUCACUGUUGUUUAGUCCGUAUCGUUAGAAUGAAUGAGAAUAACGAGGCUGAAACAAUAUUGUAAUUAAACUGUAAUUAGCAUUAAAUUGAUGAAAUUAAUGUCAUUUAUCAAGGGUCCUACUAACCCCAAUAGGUGGUCAUACUGCCUCGCCUCCAAUAGGGACCUGCUAUAAGUGACUGAAGUACACAGUUAAGUUCAAGGGUCAUACUGCCCCCAAUAGGAGGUCCUACUGACCUCAAUAGAAGGUCAUACUGCCCCCAAUAGGAGGUCUUACUGACCUCAAUAGAAGGUCAUACUGACCCCAAUAGGGACAUGUUAUAAGUGACAAAAGCACAGGGUCAUACUAACCCCAAUAGGAACCUGUUAUAAGUGAUUGAAACACACUGUUAAGUUCAAGGGUCAUACUACCCUCAAUAAGAGGUCCUACUGACCCCAAUAGGAGGUCCUACUGACCCCAAUAGGUGGUCCUACUGACCCCAAUAGGAGGUCAAUGGUCGCCGGUGUCCGGUGUCCGGUCAACGAUCGUCUGUGUCCGGUCAACGGUCACCAGAGUCCAGUCAACGUCGUCGGAUCCCGGUCAACGGUCGCCAGAGUCACGGUCAACGGUCAUUGGUUGCAAAAAUCCGGUCAUAGAUAUUAUUUCAAAAUAAACUUUAUAUUGUUCUUAUAAUGGUUUAUUGUAGUUUAUUUAAAUCAUUAAAGGUAUAAUUGUCUUUUUCUUGUUUAAAUUGGCUCAUGGGAAUUUUAAAAUCUGAUUUUGUUUGUGGAAGUAAAAUUCUUAAAAUUAAGGUUAAUGGGCAUUGUCCUUUUUAUUAAUAAUUAAUAUUCAUUAAGACUAAUUAUACAUUUUUAAAAUAUGAGAGGGUUCUCGCCCCCAGCUAGCUAGCUACGCCUGAGACAGAUAAUCUCUUUAACACCGUUUCAAUAAAGUUCAUGCUCAGAAGUUAUUGGCCUGUGAUCCUUACACGUAGUCUCUGAUCUUC
rnacentral:lncRNA from 1 species